ensembl:lncRNA
ACGGUCAUGGAUUUUUAAAUGUUAAAAAAAAAACCGGAAGACUAUGUACAGUAAUAACCGAAGAGCAUACGUUUUAAAUAAUGUAUCAAUGGGUUUGUCUCUUUGUAAUUUUGUUUAUAGAUUCAGUGGGAAACAACAUGGAUCUCAAACGGACAGUAUACAUGUUACGGGACCUACAAAAGCAGCAGCAACAACAACUGCUAAAGCUACAACUGCUGUACCUACAACUGCAGCACCAACCACUGGGGCACCUACAACUGCAGAACCUACCACUGCAGAACCUACAACUGCAGCAUCUACAACUGCAUUGCCUACUACUGCAGGACCUACAACAGCAGCACCAACCAAUGUGGCACCUACAACUGCAUAUCCAACCACUGUGGCACCUACAACUGCGUUGCCAACGACUGCAGGACCUGAAACAGCAGCACCGACCACUGUGGCAGGAACAACUGAUUUAACAACCACUGAAGGACCUAAAACAGCACAGACAACUGCAGAACCUAAAUCUGCAGUACAUACAACUGCCUUGCCAACCACUGCAGGACCUACAACAGCAGCACAAACCACUGUAGCACCUACCACUGCAGCAGCUACAACUACAGAGCCUAAAACUGCCUUGCCUACUACUGCAGGACCUACAACAGCAUUGCCAACCACUAGAGGAUCAACAAAAGGCGUACUAACCACUGUGGCACCUACAACUGCAGAAACGACCAUUGCAGGAGCAACAACUGCCUUUCCAACUACUACAGGACCUGCAACAGCAGCACCAAUCACUGUGGCGCCUACAACUGCAGCACCUACCACUGCAGCAGUAACAACUGUCGAACCCAAAACUGCUUUGCCUUCUACUGCAGGAUCUACAACCGCAUUGCCAACAACUACAGGACCUACAACAGCCGUACCAACCACUGUGCCACCAGCAACUGCAGCACCUAUUACUGCAGCAGUAACAACUUCCUUGCCAACCACUGCAGGACCUACAACAGCAGCAGGACCUACAACAGCAGCACCUACCACUGUGGCCCCCACAACUGAUGCACCUACACCUGCAUUGCCAACAACUGCAGGACCUACAACAGCAGCGCAAGCCACGGUGGAACCUACCACUGAAGCACCUUCCACUGUAGCAGCUACAACUGUAACAGCAACAGCAACCACUGCCUUGCCAAACACUGCAGGACCUACAACUGCAGCAUCUACCACUGAAACAGUUACCACUGCAGCACCUACAACUGCAUUGCCUACGACUUUAGGACCUACAGUACAACAGCAGGGCCAACACUGAGGCACCUACCACUGAAACACCUACCAUUGCAGCAGCUACAACUACCUUUCCAAACACUGCAGGACCUACAAGAGCAGGAUUAACCACUGUGGCACCUACAACUGCGGCACCUACAACUGCAGCACCUACAACUCCCUUGCCAACCACUGCAGGACAUACGACAGCAGCACCAACCACUUUGGCACUAUCAACUGCAGAAUUUACCGCUGCAGAACCUACAACUGUCUUGCCUGCUACUGCAGGACCUACAACAGCAGCACCAACCACUUUGGCACCUACCACUGAAGCACCCACCACUGCCGCAGCUACAACUGCAGCAGCAACAACUGCAUUGCCAACAACUGUAGGACCUACAACAGCAGCACAAACCACCAUAGCACUUGCAACUGCUUUGCCAACUACUGCAGCACCAACCACUGCAGAAGCUACAACUGCUGCACCUACAACUACCUUGCCAAAAACCGCAGGAUCUACAACAGCAGCACCAACCACUGUGGCACCUACCACUAAUGCAGCAACUGCUACUGAAGCACCAAGAGUUGUCUUUCUCUUAGCAACCUUGCAACAACCAUUCGUAGAAGAACUCAAUAAUCGAAACAGCCAGGAAUUGAGUUAAAAGUUCUUACUGUGGUUAGUACUUCACUCACAUAAAAUGGUUUUAUGUCAGUUUUUUAUUAAAUUUAGGACAUUACUGUAUUCAUAGUUUGUUCACGUUCUGCAUUUUCUUUAUUUCUACAGUUUGAUUUUAUCUACGGAACAAGAUUUGAUUUCAUUUUUCUCCACACUUAUGUGAUCAUUUUUAGGUCAUAUUUCAAAUGUUCAGAGUCCUACUGUAUUUAUUUACGAUAUUUUGAAUUAGUGAUUACAUAAAAAAUGAAAUACCACAACCAUGCAGCUGUUGGUUCUGUUAACAUUAUUUGAUUGACAUUUUCUUUCACAAUGUAGUCCACGUGCAGCGUUGACACGAAUGUCUACAACCGAAGUAAAGGUUGGCAUUGAGUUCAAUCAGCUUCUGUCACUGUAUUUUGUAAGUAUAUUGGCCUCCGGUUAAUCGUAAUGGUUUGGAAGACAAAGAAAUACACCCCAUGUCACUAACAGUCUGUGAGUUGGUUUGUGUGCUUUCCUGAUCCCUCUUUGGCAAAUCGCUUGUUUGACAAACAACACACAAUCUAAAUAUAAAUAUCAUGAAGUCUGCAUUGGCAUUAGUAAGGCUACUUAGACUGUGAUUUACCAAAGUGAUAUCCAUCUUGUAAUAUGUGGGUUUGAUCAAGAGAACACCCUCUGGCUAUCGUCAUUCAUUGACUCCACCUUUAUUUGUUUUUUACAGAAAUUAACAUUACAUCAAAUGUUCUCCAACAGACUGCUUCAGCUCCGCUGUCACAAGGACCGAUACAGGAGAUCAUUCCUGCCCAGUGCAAUAACACUUUACAAUAAAUCAUCUCUGGCCAAAUAAUGACAAUAACAACCCUGUACUGCUGUAAUGUUGCUGCUCUUCCUCUUCCUCUUCUCCUUUUACAAAUUAUUAUCAUUGUCUCUUUUUGAAGGUUAUUCUUUUGUUUUAGUUUAUUUAUUUUUUUAUUAUAUUGUAUAUAAUGUGUAUCUUUUAAUUCUAUUUUCUUCCCUGUACAUGCUGCUAGGACACCAAAAUUUACCUCCUGAGGGAUCAAUAAAGCAUCUAUCUAUCUAUCUAACUCCAUUGUUGUGGAUGUUUCACAAAGAAACGUUACAUCAUAUUAUACAACUGCACCCUCAACUUUGAAUACUGCAGCACCCACAACAGCUGCACCCGUAACAUCUCAGGCGGUCACAACAAGGCGAUUGACUUUCAGAUCUGCUGGAGAGACAUUUACUUCAGACUUGCUGAAUCCAUCUGCUUCAAAGAAGAGCCUCAUUGAUCACGUCAACACUCAAGCUGUUCAACCAGAGAGCAUUUCCUACGUUCCGCUCCUUAACAGUGACUUCAUUCAGAAAUGGAUCAAUUAUAAAUAACAUGGAUCUUGGAUUUUUGUCAACUUCUGUUCCUAAUGGCACUCAGAUUUGAAAUGUUUUGGUUAAAGCAGCUUCAACCAUCACAGCCUUCAAUGUUGACCUCAACUCAAUUGUUAGGUCUCAAGUGGAGUAAGACACAAGAUCAGUCUCAUCACUGCAUCCUUCCUUGUAUUGUUGUCAUGGAUACUGUCAAACCAGCAAUAGCAUCAUCACUGACUACUGUUAGAAAAGCCCUGAUUGUAUGAUUGCCAUCACUGGCAUGACAAAUUACUUCUUGAUUCUUGUCCAAGAAACCUUGUACAUCUUUGGAUAAACACACUAUCGAAUGUAAUUUUCCAUUGACCACACACCAUAAUGACAGUGGAAUAGAUAGAUAGGAAUAGUGUCUUUUGAUCUGAACACGUUUGCGGCUGGGAAUGUACAGGAUUAUGGACCAAAAACAAUAUGUAGCCAAUUUUAAUAAUCCAGAUAGAAUACCAUUUAGCCCUGAGAUGUAAAAGAAACAAUGUUUAUUAGCAAUCCCAACUAUAAACAAAUACAUAGAUUUGAAUUAUCAUGAUAUGAAUUACUUUGCCUCUCAGAUUAUUCUAUAUAUUCAAACACCACCACAUAGCCUAAGAGACACACUGUAAUCAAUUCAGCUUAAAAUAAACACAAACUGGCAAAGAAACCCCUUCUGUUAUUUUAGGGUUAAACCUAAACACACUUUUAAAACCAUAUAUGUGACAAUACUUUCUUUUAUUCUUUGGUCACCCUCAAGGUUAGAUUUAAGUGAAUGUUUCGAUUAAAUUUAAUGGAAUUGAAAGAAAUAUUGACGAUAUAUUUUCAAAUGGUGUUAGUGGUCAAAAGGUGUAUAUAUGUAUAAUUUAUAGCUAAACUCUUUGAGAUUUAUUGUUUUCACAAUCUUUGUCUGAACCUUCACAAUGAUCAUAACACAAAAUAUUGAAUAAUUAAAAUAGUCUCUUCUGUAAUGUUUUGAAACUUCUGUUGUCAAAGGUUACAUACAUAUCUUUUUGUCAUGCCCUGUGGCUAUAUCCCUGGUAAUUAAGAGAAAAAUGUGUACCAAAGUGUACACUUAUUCAUCAACAGAGGGAGCCAACACAGCACUAUGCAGUCUCAAUCACAUAGGUUUUAUAAUUUUAUAACCCCAGAUGGGUUUUACCUUCUGUGCUUUGAAUCAAUUGCUUUACAAUAUAUAAGGUCAUUGAUUUCUUUUUCUUUUUAAAAUAAGUAUGUUUAACUUCCCUUUUCCACUUUAUCUAAUUAAUUAAAAAAAACAGCAAUAACAAAAUCAAUUUUUCUAAAAGAUUGUAGUUUAGAUUGGUUUCAAGUAGCCCUUAAUUUUAUUUACCACAUUUUACAGUAGUAGAUUAGUAGUAUGAAUUAAAUCAUAUUGCAAACAAGUUGUAAAGAUAGGGCAUUGUGUCACAUGGUUUCCCCUCAGAAACGAAAAUGAAUAAAACAUCAAGUGGAACUGACGUGACAUGUAAUGUUUUCCAACCCAGUGCGGCUCAUGUUCCAGACCAACUAAAAGAACGG